rnacentral:rRNA from 1 species
GUGCCAGCCGCCGCGGUAAUACCGGCAGCCCGAGUGAUGGCCGAUCUUAUUGGGCCUAAAGCGUCCGUAGCUGGCCGCACAAGUCCGUCGGGAAAUCCGCCCGCUCAACGGGCGGCCGUCCGGCGGAACCUGUGUGGCUUGGGACCGGGAGGCCUGAGGGGUACGUCCGGGGUAGGAGUGAAAUCCUGUAAUCCUGGACGGACCGCCGGUGGCGGAAGCGCCUCGGGAGGACGGAUCCGACAGUGAGGGACGAAAGCCAGGGUCUCCAACCGGAUUAGAAACCCGAGUAGUCC